UACGUAGGCAGCGAGCGUUGUUCGGAGUUACUGGGCGUAAAGAGUGCGUAGGCGGUUUUCUAAGUUUGGUGUGAAAUCUCCCGGCUUAACUGGGAGGGUGCGCCGAAAACUGGAAGGCUUGAGUAUGGGAGAGGUAAGCGGAAUUCCUGGUGUAGCGGUGGAAUGCGUAGAUAUCAAGAGGAACACCUGAGGUGAAGACGGGUUGCUGGGCUGACACUGACGCUGAGGCGCGAAAGCCAGGGGAGCAAACGGG
rnacentral:rRNA from 1 species